UGUGCCUCUGAUGUAGUGUUGGCUGAGGCUCCCUCUUGCCGGCUCCUGCUCUUGAAACACACCCAAGUGCAAUGUUCAAUCAUCUACUUGUUUCCAAAGUUAUUUGGGUCAGCAUUUUCCUCCACCCACCACUUAAAACUGAUUUGUUUCAUACAUUUGAAAUGUAUGAAAAGCCAGAAAUCCAGGACCCACCCUGGCCUGCUCCCUUUUUCUCACCUACUGUGUUAAGGAUAAGUCAAUUGAGCUUCACUUCUCUAAUUGAAAUCACCGUGCUGAUGGAGUCUGUCUGUGGAAAUGAAAGGUGGCUACCAUAAUCUGUUGGGAGUUGAAUUAAUCCUCUGGGAGUGAGGCUGACCUAAUUACUCAGAAAUACUGGGCUUGCUUUCAUUCUGUGGAAUACAGCCAUGAGAAAGAGGCCAGCAUGCCAUUUCCUAAUCUUUUCUUGAAUUGCCUGAAACUCACCUAACAUGAAACUGAGAAGCCUUUUCAUUUGAAAGUGGUAUUUCUUAUGUUUUUUAUCUUUUUGCUUGAAAGUAUUCUUAAACUAAAGAAAGGAGAAACAGAAAAGGUGAAGAAGCCAAGAGGCUGGAGUUUCCUUUUGAAUGGAUAUUCAUCCAUGAAGCUGUUGAUUCUGUUUUUCUGUUCCUCCAGAUGUCUACACUUUUACCUCUGCUUGCCUGAUACAACCACCACCAGUCACCUCACAGAAUAACUCACUCCUUAAGAAUCUGAUCAGGAAUCAGCCUUCCCUGAUCACAAACACUGAGUUUAGAAGUCCCUCCACAGUGUCCCCCGUAACCCUGUGCUACCUCACUGCCUCAUAGUUUAGUGCCGUUUGUGUACAUGCCUAUCUUCGUCCAUGGAUCCAGAACAACUUGUAAAAAUGACUGUACUUAUCACCUUCAGUAUUCAAUGACUAAACUAUAAUUUUAACAUAUCUGGCAGAAUGAAUCACUUGGGGAUUUCUGCCAACACUACCAAUAUAUUACUCCUAAUUUGUAAUUAUUACUUAGCAUGGAUUAUAGUACCGGCUGUUGGAGAGCCAAUGUGGCAGACCCUAAGUGGAAUAAAAUGUCAGUAGCAGUCUAGGAGCAUAUAUUUAUUGGAAUAGAUCAUUCAUUCAUUUGUUCAUUAACUAAUUUGUUCAUUAAAUAAACAUUUAUUAAGCA
ensembl:lncRNA CCDC26 CCDC26 long non-coding RNA